CGACCGGCGCACGGGUGAGUAACGCGUAUCCAACCUGCCCUUUACUAUGGGACAGCCCGUCGAAAGGCGGAUUAAUACCGUAUGUUGUCAUGUUGAUGCAUAUUUUCAUGACCAAAGGCUUCGGCCGGCAAAGGAUGGGGAUGCGUCUGAUUAGCUUGCCGGCGGGGUAACGGCCCACCGGGGCGACGAUCAGUAGGGGUUCUGAGAGGAAGGUCCCCCACAUUGGAACUGAGACACGGUCCAAACUCCUACGGGAGGCAGCAG
rnacentral:rRNA from 1 species